CGAAACAGGAGCUGUAGAACACUCUUGUUCAGAUCCAGAAAAUGCCAGGCUCAUCCACUGCUUCCCACGCCAACAUCAGUGAUCCUGACCUCUAUCUUGUCACUGGACUCUGAUGACUCUGGAAGAGAGAAUGAGACUGAUGUCUUUGUCUAAUUCUGCUCACUUGAAUUCAAUUCAUGCACAAGAGAAGAGCCAUGAUGUCAUUGAUCCUCUUUGGAAAUGAAGGACAAAUAACAACAAAGCCUGAUCUAUGUCUCACAGGAAGAGGGGGAUUCUGUAAGAUAAAUAGAACUACAAAGAGAAUACAACUCUCAAGGAAAAACUUUGGGGAUUAAACCACCUGGAACUGGGAAAUUGAUAUUUCCUCCACCUUCAUAUGGAACCAUGAGCCCAGUGAAAAAUUAGAAAUAAUGCUUUGGAACGUAUGGUUAAUAAAAUAUUUCAUUGUGGUUAUUGCUUGUUCUUUACAAGAAGGCAUUUGACUAUGUAGAACAAAAUGCUUCCUUGAAGAUUCUCCUCCAAAAAGGUACU